rnacentral:rRNA from 1 species
UAGUCCCAGUUCGGAUUGUAGUCUGCAACUCGAGUACAUGAAGCUGGAAUCGCUAGUAAUCGCAAAUCAGAAUGUUGCGGUGAAUACGUUCCCGGGCCUUGUACACACCGCCCGUCACACCAUGGGAGUUGGAAGCGCCCGAAGUCGAUGACCUAACCGCGAGGGAGGAGUCGCCGAAGGUGAAGCCAGUGACUGGGGUGAAGUCGUAACAAGGUAGCCGUAUCGGAAGGUGCGGCUGGAUCACCUCCUUUCUAAGGA